ACGUACACUCCUACGGGAGGCAGCAGUGGGGAAUUUUACGCAAUGGGGGAAACCCUGACGUAGCGACACCGCGUGAGCGAAGAAGCCCUUUGGGGUGUAAAGCUCUGUCAGCUGGAACGAAAACAAUGACGGUACCAGCAGAGGAAGCAUCGGCUAACUACGUGCCAGCAGCCGCGGUAAGACGUAGGAUGCGAGCGUUGUCCGGAUUUAUUGGGCGUAAAGAGUUCGUAGGUGGUUUGUUAAGUUUGGUGUUAAAGAUCGGGGCUCAACCCUGGGACUGCACUGAAUACUGGCAGACUCGAGUGUGGUAGAGGCUAGUGGAAUCCCCAGUGUAGCGGUGAAAUGCGUAGAUAUUGGGAAGAACACCGGUGGCGUAGGCGACUAGCUGGGCCAUAACUGACGCUGAGGAACGAAAGCCAGGGGAGCGAAUGGGAUUAGAAACCCCGGUAGUCCCAUGA
rnacentral:rRNA from 1 species